UAGAUCAAUUUUGUUAUUUUC
rnacentral:piRNA from 1 species